UACGUAGGGGCCUAGCGUUGUCCGGAUUUAUUGGGCGUAAAGAGCUCGUAGGCGGUUCGGCAAGUCGGAUGUGAAAUCUCCACGCUCAACGUGGAGGGGCCAUUCGAAACUGCCGUGACUCGAGUCCGGUAGGGGAGUGUGGAAUUCCCGGUGUAGCGGUGAAAUGCGCAGAUAUCAGGAGGAACACCAAUUGCGAAGGCAGCUCGCUGGGACGUUACUGACGCUGAGACGCGAAAGCGUGGGGAGCAAACAGG
rnacentral:rRNA from 1 species